CGGCAUUGGCGUAACCGGCGAUGUGCGCCAGUACCGGCAGGCCGAGCGCCUGGGCCUUGCUC
rnacentral:ncRNA from 16 species